rnacentral:rRNA from 1 species
AACGAACGCUGGCGGCAGGCCUAACACAUGCAAGUCGAGCGAGGACUUCUGUCCUAGCGGCGGACGGGUGAGUAACGCGUGGGAACGUGCCCUUUGCUUCGGAAUAGCCCUGGGAAACUGGGAGUAAUACCGGAUGAGCCCUUUGGGGGAAAGAUUUAUCGGCGAAGGAUCGGCCCGCGUUGGAUUAGGUAGUUGGUGGGGUAAUGGCCUACCAAGCCGACGCUCCAUAGCUGGUUUGAGAGGAUGAUCAGCCACACUGGGACUGAGACACGGCCCAGACUCCUACGGGAGGCAGCAGUGGGGAAUCUUAGACAAUGGGGGAAACCCUGAUCUAGCCAUGCCGCGUGAGCGAUGAAGGCCUUAGGGUUGUAAAGCUCUUUCAGCUGGGAAGAUAAUGACGGUACCAGCAGAAGAAGCCCCGGCUAACUCCGUG